UGGAUCAAUAUUGAUGACUGGUGGCAUAUGAGUCAAGGAUGAUGGAAAAGGCUUAUCUAGAACUCUGAGGUCCAA